rnacentral:rRNA from 1 species
AACGAACGCUGGCGGCGUGGAUUAGGCAUGCAAGUCGAACGAGGAUAUAUCUUUCGGGAUAUAAGCCGAGUGGCACAAGGGUGAGCAAUGCAUAGAUUACCUACCUUUAGGAUAAGGACAACUUUGUGAAAACGGAGCUAAUACUUAAUAAUACAAAAGAAAAUAAUUUUCUUUUGUCAAAGGGAGGGUAGCAAUACCUUUCGCCUAGAGAGGGGUUUAUGUCCUAUCAGCUUGUUGGUGGGGUAAUAGCCUACCAAGGCGAAGACGGGUAGCCGGUUUAAGAGGAUGGUCGGCCACACUGGGACUGAGACACUGCCCAGACUUCUACGGAAGGCUGCAGUCGAGAAUCUUUCGCAAUGCCCGAAAGGGUGACGAAGCGACGCCGCGUGAGUGAAGAAGGCCUUCGGGUUGUAAAACUCUGUCAGGAGUUAUGAAAUGUAAGUACGCUAAUAUCGUGCUUAUUUGACAAAGGCUCCAAAGGAAGCCACGGCUAACUCUGUGCCAGCAGCCGCGGUAAUACAGAGGUGGCGAGCGUUGUUCGGAAUUAUUGGGCGUAAAGAGCACGUAGGUGGGUUUGCAAGUCAGAUGUGAAAGCCUUCUGUUCAACGGAAGAAUUGCAUCUGAAACUGCUAAUCUUGAGUAUAGGAGGGGAGAAUGGAACUUCUGGUGGAGCGGUGAAAUGCGUAGAUAUCAGAAGGAACGCCGGCGGCGAAAGCGAUUCUCUGGCCUAUUACUGACACUCAGUGUGCGAAAGCUAGGGGAGCAAACGGGAUUAGAUACCCCGGUAGUCCUAGCCGUAAACGAUGGGCACUAAGUAGAGGGGAUUACCUAUGUUCUCUCUGCCGUAGCUAACGCAUUAAGUGCCCCGCCUGGGGAGUACGGCCGCAAGGCUAAAACUCAAAAGAAUUGACGGGGGCUCGCACAAGCGGUGGAGCAUGUGGCUUAAUUCGAUGCAACGCGAAAAACCUUACCGGGGCUUGACAUGAUAGAAGUAGGAACCUGAAAGGGGGACGAACGGUAUCCAGUCCGUAGCUAUUACAGGUGUUGCAUGGCUGUCGUCAGCUCGUGUCGUGAGACGUUGGGUUAAGUCCCCUAACGAGCGAAGCCCUUGUUUUUAGUUACCAGCGGGUUAUGCCGGGUACUCUAGAAAGACUGCCGUCGUCAAGACGGAGGAAGGUGGGGAUGACGUCAAGUCAUCAUGGCCCUUAUGCCCCGGGCUGCACACGUGCUACAAUGGUCGGUACAAACGGAAGCGAAGCCGAGAGGUGAAGCGAAUCCUAAAAAGCCGAUCUCAGUUCGGAUUGGAGGCUGAAAUUCGCCUCCAUGAAGUUGGAAUCGCUAGUAAUCGCGGAUCAGCAAUGUCGCGGUGAAUAUGUUCCCGAGCCUUGUACACACCGCCCGUCAAGCCACCCAAGCAGGAUGCACCCGAAAACAUUAUAUCUAACCAGGGCAACUUGGAGGAAAAUGUUGAAGGAGUGUUUUGUGAGGAGGACU